CACGUAGGGCGCGAGCGUUGUCCGGAAUUAUUGGGCGUAAAGAGCGUGUAGGCGGCCAGGUAGGUCAGCUGUGAAAACUCGAGGCUCAACCUCGAGACGUCGGUUGAAACCACCUGGCUAGAGUCCGGAAGAGGAGAGUGGAAUUCCUGGUGUAGCGGUGAAAUGCGCAGAUAUCAGGAAGAACACCCGUGGCGAAGGCGGCUCUCUGGGACGGUACUGACGCUGAGACGCGAAAGCGUGGGGAGCGAACAGG
rnacentral:rRNA from 1 species